AGACCCGAAACCCGGUGAUCUAGCCAUGGGCAGGUUGAAGGUUGGGUAACACUAACUGGAGGACCGAACCGACUAAUGUUGAAAAAUUAGCGGAUGACCUGUGGCUGGGGGUGAAAGGCCAAUCAAACCGGGAGAUAGCUGGUUCUCCCCGAAAGCUAUUUAGGUAGCGCCUCGUGAAUUCAUCUCCGGGGGUAGAGCACUGUUUCGGCUAGGGGGCCAUCCCGGCUUACCAACCCGAUGCAAACUGCGAAUACCGGAGAAUGUUAUCACGGGAGACACACGGCGGGUGCUAACGUCCGUCGUGAAGAGGGAAACAACCCAGACCGCCAGCUAAGGUCCCAAAGUCAUGGUUAAGUGGGAAACGAUGUGGGAAGGCCCAGACAGCCAGGAUGUUGGCUUAGAAGCAGCCAUCAUUUAAAGAAAGCGUAAUAGCUCACUGGUCGAGUCGGCCUGCGCGGAAGAUGUAACGGGGCUAAACCAUGCACCGAAGCUGCGGCAGCGACACUAUGUGUUGUUGGGUAGGGGAGCGUUCUGUAAGCCUGCGAAGGUGGCCUGUGAGGGUUGCUGGAGGUAUCAGAAGUGCGAAUGCUGACAUAAGUAACGAUAAAGCGGGUGAAAAGCCCGCUCGCCGGAAGACCAAGGGUUCCUGUCCAACGUUAAUCGGGGCAGGGUGAGUCGACCCCUAAGGCGAGGCCGAAAGGCGUAGUCGAUGGGAAACGGGUUAAUAUUCCCGUACUUGGUGUUACUGCGAAGGGGGGACGGAGAAGGCUAUGUUGGCCGGGCGACGGUUGUCCCGGUUUAAGCGUGUAGGUGUGUGUUCCAGGUAAAUCCGGUUCACUUUAACACUGAGGCGUGAUGACGAGGCACUACGGUGCUGAAGCAACAAAUGCCCUGCUUCCAGGAAAAGCCUCUAAGCAUCAGGUAACACGAAAUCGUACCCCAAACCGACACAGGUGGUCAGGUAGAGAAUACCAAGGCGCUUGAGAGAACUCGGGUGAAGGAACUAGGCAAAAUGGUGCCGUAACUUCGGGAGAAGGCACGCUGACAUGUAGGUGAAGUGAUUUACUCACGGAGCUGAAGUCAGUCGAAGAUACCAGCUGGCUGCAACUGUUUAUUAAAAACACAGCACUGUGCAAACACGAAAGUGGACGUAUACGGUGUGACGCCUGCCCGGUGCCGGAAGGUUAAUUGAUGGGGUCAGCGCAAGCGAAGCUCCUGAUCGAAGCCCCGGUAAACGGCGGCCGUAACUAUAACGGUCCUAAGGUAGCGAAAUUCCUUGUCGGGUAAGUUCCGACCUGCACGAAUGGCGUAAUGAUGGCCAGGCUGUCUCCACCCGAGACUCAGUGAAAUUGAACUCGCUGUGAAGAUGCAGUGUACCCGCGGCAAGACGGAAAGACCCCGUGAACCUUUACUAUAGCUUGACACUGAACAUUGAGCCUUGAUGUGUAGGAUAGGUGGGAGGCUUUGAAGCGUGGACGCCAGUCUGC
rnacentral:rRNA from 1 species